CCCUUAGUAAUGGCGAAUGAAAUGGGAAUGGCCCAUCGCGUAACUGCAGGUCAUCUUGGCCUUGCGGGAUGUUGCGUUUGGGAUAGUCUCGUCGGGAGGCUGGACCGCCAGUCAAAGUCCAACUUGACAGUGGCCACUGCCCACAGAGGGUGAUAGGCCCGUAAGGCGGCGGUCUGCUCCUGCUGACUUUUCCCCCGAGUCGGGUUGCUUGGGAGUGCAGCCCAAAGUGCGAGGUAAACUCCUUGUAAGGCUAAAUAUGACCCCAAGACCGAUAGCAAACAAGUACCGUGAGGGAAAAUUGAAAAGAACUUUGAAGAGAGAGUUCAAUAGUACGUGAAACUGUGUGGUGGUAAACAGAGGGGUUCUUGAAGUCUCCGUGGGGCACUCAACCUUGGUGGUGGGUGGCUGGGCCGUGUGUGAUCAGCAAUGACACUGCAGCCCACCCAACCUGCCUCCUGGGUGCACUUCCCCCACGGUUCACGGCAGGAACUGUUGGGCGCAGACUGAAGGCCCUGGACGAAGUUGUUGCUUCUGGCGGCAGCGCCGGGCGUCCUGGCUCAGCACCCGACAGGUAUGCGAGGGGAGUCGUAUAGCGAGCAACGCUCUGUUGCGGUCCCCAUCUCUCUGCCGAGUAGGUCAGUGGCCCCUCUGACCCGUCUUGAAACACGGACCAAGGAGUCUAACAUGUGUGCAAGCCGUUGGGUUGGCUAAACCCCAUGGCGGAGUGAAAGCAAAGAGCAGCCUGUCUGCUCGAGGGAUGAUCCCGUGAGGGUGCAGUCCUGCAACUUCCAAGCAACCUUGCA
rnacentral:rRNA from 1 species